GAUGCUGUGAUGAGGUUAAGCACUAAAUGUGUUUAAAGAGCAGUGGACGGGUUCCGUUUGGGACUCGCCGUGAGCUUUGUUAAUUAACGACUUCUCCUUCCACUGAGCUCU
rfam:Jatropha curcas cultivar GZQX0401 scaffold749_31, whole genome shotgun sequence.